rnacentral:rRNA from 1 species
AGGCCUAACACAUGCAAGUCGAGGGGCAGCACGAAUUAGCUUGCUAAUUUGGUGGCGACCGGCGCACGGGUGCGUAACGCGUAUGCAACCUACCUUAUACAGGGGUAUAGCCCGGAGAAAUUCGGAUUAAUACCCCAUAGUAUUAUGUAUCCGCAUGGUUAUAUAAUUAAAGAUUACGGUACAGGAUGGGCAUGCGUCCUAUUAGCUAGAUGGUGAGGUAACGGCUCACCAUGGCUACGAUAGGUAGGGGGCCUGAGAGGGUGAUCCCCCACACUGGUACUGAGACACGGACCACACUCCUACGGGAGGCAGCAGUGAGGAAUAUUGGUCAAUGGGCGCAAGCCUGAACCAGCCAUGCCGCGUGCAGGAAGAAGGUCCUAUGGAUUGUAAACUGCUUUUAUUUGGGAAUAAACCUCUGGUCGUGCACCGGAGCUGAAGGUACCAAAUGAAUAAGCACCGGCUAACUCCGUGCCAGCAGCCGCGGUAAUACGGAGGGUGCAAGCGUUAUCCGGAAUCAUUGGGUUUAAAGGGUCCGCAGGCGGACUUAUAAGUCAGUGGUGAAAGCCUACAGCUUAACUGUAGAACUGCCAUUGAUACUGUAAGUCUUGAAUUCGGUCGAAGUGGGCGGAAUGUGUAGUGUAGCGGUGAAAUGCUUAGAUAUUACACAGAACACCGAUAGCGAAGGCAGCUCACUAGGCCUGGAUUGACGCUCAGGGACGAAAGCGUGGGGAUCAAACAGGAUUAGAUACCCUGGUAGUCCACGCCGUAAACUAUGAUUACUCGUUUUCGGCGAUAUACAGUCGGAGACUAAGCGAAAGUGAUAAGUAAUCCACCUGGGGAGUACGAUCGCAAGGUUGAAAAUUAAAUGAAU